rnacentral:rRNA from 1 species
UACGAAGGGGGCUAGCGUUGCUCGGAAUCACUGGGCGUAAAGGGCGCGUAGGCGGCCGAUCAAGUCGGAGGUGAAAGCCCAGGGCUCAACCCUGGAAUGGCCUUCGAUACUGGUUGGCUCGAGACCGGAAGAGGUCAGUGGAACUGCGAGUGUAGAGGUGAAAUUCGUAGAUAUUCGCAAGAACACCAGUGGCGAAGGCGGCUGACUGGUCCGGUUCUGACGCUGAGGCGCGAAAGCGUGGGGAGCAAACAGG